AGCCUCUUCCACGCUCCACCACCAUCAGCCUCCUUAACCCCGACCGAAGAGCUGGCCUUUUCCCCAAGGCCUGCUGCUUGGAUUCUUGUUGGGGUGGACGAGUUGCCUCCAUCUUGGGAUCCAGUUGUCACACCUAACUUCGAUAUGUAUCCAAAGGGGUCUCCAAAGUAUAAUCUCAUGAAAGCAAGUGGAAA